rnacentral:lncRNA from 12 species
ACCCGCGAGCACCGCGGGAAGGUGACAGCGGACAUGGGGGCAGGGACUGGGAAUGGGAACCCGUGCGUGCUACGGGAAGGUGACAGGAGAUGGGGACACGGGGACAUGGGACAGGGGAUGGGGACAAGGGACAGGGGAUGGGGACAGGGGUGGGGACACGGGGAGAGGGGGGUGGCCUCUGGCUGGGGUGGGUGAGUGUCACCGAAUGUCCCCUCCUAGAGCCCGGGGCGGUGGUCCCGGGGUGUCCCCGGGUGUCACCGGUGUCCCCUGUCCCCAGGCCCCGCCUUCACCAUCCUGAUGCUCCUGGCCAGCCUGACCAGCUGCACCAACCCCUGGAUCUCGGCCGCCUUCAGCGCCACGCUGGCCCGGGCCAUGGCCAGAGUGCUGUGUCCCUGCAGCCACCAGAGGGGACAGACGGGGUGACACACAGAGUGACACUGGGGUGACGCAGGGGUCACAGGGAGCCAUGGCCAGUGCUGUGUCCCUGCCGCCACCAACGGGGACACAGGGGAUGACACAGUGACGCAGAGUGGCACAGAGUGAGUGACACGAGAGGUGACUCAGUGUGACACAGAGCCAUGGUGUGUGUCCCCUGUCCCUGCUGCCACCCCCAGUGUCACACAAGGUGACAGGAGGUGACACAAGGACAGGGCUCACACUGGUGACUUGUGUGACACAAGGACACACAAGGGACACACGGGGGGACCUGGGGACACACAGGGGAGUCUUGUGUCAGUCAAGGGGGUCAUGUCACAUUUGGGGUCCCUCGUGCCAUAUUUGUGGUCCCUCCUGUGACAUUUGGGGUCCCUCGAGGGACUCCUGUCACAUUUGGGGUCACAUGGGGGGCUCGUGUCACAUUUGGGGUCCCUCAGACUCGUGUCACAUUUGGGAUCACUCCUGUCAUAUUUGGGGUCACACAAGGGGCUCGUGCCACAUUUGGGGUCCCCCCUGUCACAUUUGGGGUCACUUGGGUGGCUCGUGUCACAUUUGGGGUCCAUCUGAGGGGCUCGUGUCACAUUUGGGGUCCCUCCUGUCACAUUAGGGGUCCCUCCUGUCACAUUUGGGGUCGCUCUGUGCAAACCCGUCACCAAUAAAGCAGAAUUUUACACCAAAUCUCCCCGAUUUUCUUGUGGGACGUUGGGAAAAUAUUUCUCCCAAAAAUUCAGAGAAAUCAGCCCAAAAAAAGGGGAAAAAAGAGGAAAAGAUCCCCAAAAUUGAGAGAAAUCUUAUGGGGCAGGACCCCAUCCCCUAUAGGGCAC